AAACUCUUUAAUCCUGACCAAGGGAAAAGUGCUGACAUAGAGGUGGAGCUGAUCUCUUUUGCCUAGAGGAGAGAAGAUCCAGAUAUGGGUUCACAUGGCAGCCGAAACACCGGGCAAAAUGGUGGAUAAAAUACCAUCCUUGUGGUACAUAGCAGUUAAUGGAUUUUACACUUGACCUGGUGUCAUGUUGUGAUGGAGACAGCAAGGCUCUUCUUGCCACCAGUCAGCCUGAUACCAUACCAUGCCAGUGUGAGCCAUCCUAGGGCCUGGCAUGAUGCGGCUGUGUUAGCCAUAUCCAGAUGAACGGGACCACAACAAAUGCCUCCAUGAUGUAAAAUUCAUAAAUACUGAGCUGUAUGUAGCACACAGCUGGAACCUGGUGCUGUUAUUGCUGUGCCUAGUUCAAGUGAUGGACGUGAGAAAUCUCUGUGCCUUGGCAAG